AGCGUAACAGCGGUUGCCGCCGGGGUCUACGGGACCGUCCCUCCCAGGAAGACAGAACCCGACACCGCCUCCUGCUCCUCCUGCCUCCGUCGUUGAGGGCCGUCCUGGAGAGCGGUUCGCCGUCUGUUCUUCGUAGUGGACACCGUGUCAUCACUCAUUUUUAUUCAUCGAGCUGGUUAGCAGCCUUUUCUAUUUAAUUCAGUUGCUUGUUUGGGCUUUUAGCCAGAGAGUGUGUGAGGGACGGACACAUUUAGAUUCAGACAACGUGACUGCAUGCUACGAGCGACGAGAAAUAACGGAAAGCAGGAGCAGCGAAAAAGCCUGAAAAGGACCGGUUGUUGAUUUCACCAAGAUAAACAACUGGCACAACAAGAUGUUAUCCAGCAUAACUCCAGCAGUGUUGCCAGCUGUUCACCAUCCUGGUCUUCCUUGGUCCCCACACACAGUAGUGCAUAAAUAAGAGAGGUAGAAUUAGAAAAUAUUCACCAGCUGUGCCAGCCGGCAUCUCCCUGCCACUGCCCCAUGAAACCUUCACUC
ensembl:lncRNA